GGUGAAGACGUGAAGCACUCUAGACGAACUGCCGUUGACAAAACGGAGGAAGGUGGGGAUGACGUCAAAUCAUCAUGCCCCUUAUGUUCUGGGCUACACACGUGCUACAAUGGCCGGUACAGACGGAGGCGAAGCCGCGAGGCGGAGCAAAUCCGAAAAAAGCCGGUCUCAGUUCGGAUUGCAGGCUGCAAUUCGCCUGCAUGAAGUCGGAAUCGCUAGUAAUCGCAGGUCAGCAUACUGCGGUGAAUACGUUCCCGGGCCUU
rnacentral:rRNA from 1 species